GAAUUGACGGGGGCCCGCACAAGCGGUGGAGCAUGUGGUUUAAUUCGAUGCAACGCGAAGAACCUUACCUGGUCUUGACAUCCACGGAAGUUUUCAGAGAUGAGAAUGUGCCUUCGGGAACCGUGAGACAGGUGCUGCAUGGCUGUCGUCAGCUCGUGUUGUGAAAUGUUGGGUUAAGUCCCGCAACGAGCGCAACCCUUAUCCUUUGUUGCCAGCGGUCCGGCCGGGAACUCAAAGGAGACUGCCAGUGAUAAACUGGAGGAAGGUGGGGAUGACGUCAAGUCAUCAUGGCCCUUACGACCAGGGCUACACACGUGCUACAAUGGCGCAUACAAAGAGAAGCGACCUCGCGAGAGCAAGCGGACCUCAUAAAGUGCGUCGUAGUCCGGAUUGGAGUCUGCAACUCGACUCCAUGAA
rnacentral:rRNA from 1 species